GUUUGAUCCUGGCUCAGAUUGAACGCUGGCGGCAGGCUUAACACAUGCAAGUCGAGCGGUAACAGAAAUAGCUUGCUAUUUGCUGACGAGCGGCGGACGGGUGAGUAAUGCUUGGGAAUAUGCCUUAUGGUGGGGGACAACAGUUGGAAACGACUGCUAAUACCGCAUAAUGUCUACGGACCAAAGGGGGGGAUCUUCGGACCUCUCGCCAUUUGAUUAGCCCAAGUGAGAUUAGCUAGUUGGUAAGGUAAUGGCUUACCAAGGCGACGAUCUCUAGCUGGUUUGAGAGGAUGAUCAGCCACACUGGGACUGAGACACGGCCCAGACUCCUACGGGAGGCAGCAGUGGGGAAUAUUGCACAAUGGGGGAAACCCUGAUGCAGCCAUGCCGCGUGUAUGAAGAAGGCCUACGGGUUGUAAAGUACUUUCAGUUGUGAGGAAGGCAGUUAAGUUAAUAGCUUAGUUGUUUGACGUUAGCAACAGAAGAAGCACCGGCUAACUCCGUGCCAGCAGCCGCGGUAAUACGGAGGGUGCGAGCGUUAAUCGGAAUUACUGGGCGUAAAGCGCAUGCAGGUGGUCUGUUAAGCAAGAUGUGAAAGCCCGGGGCUCAACCUCGGAACAGCAUUUUGAACUGGCAGACUAGAGUACUGUAGAGGGGGGUAGAAUUUCA
rnacentral:rRNA from 1 species